UUGACGUUGGAUUACCAGUGAGCGGCGGACGGGUGAGUAACACGNUGGGCAACCUGCCCUGAAGCGGGGGAUAACAUCUGGAAACAGGUGCUAAUACCGCAUAACAACGAAAACCACAUGGUUUUCGUUUCAAAGAUGGUUUCGACUAUCACUUCAGGAUGGGCCCGCGGUGCAUUAGCUAGUUGGUAAGGUAACGGCUUACCAAGGCAAUGAUGCAUAGCCGAGUUGAGAGACUGAUCGGCCACAAUGGAACUGAGACACGGUCCAUACUCCUACGGGAGGCAGCAGUAGGGGAUCUUCCACAAUGGGCGCAAGCCUGAUGGAGCAACACCGCGUGAGUGAAGAAGGGUUUCGGCUCGUAAAGCUCUGUUGUUGGAGAAGAACGUGCGUGAGAGUAACUGUUCACGCAGUGACGGUAUCCAACCAGAAAGUCACGGCUAACUACGUGCCAGCAGCCGCGGUAAUACGUAGGUGGCAAGCGUUAUCCGGAUUUAUUGGGCGUAAAGCGAGCGCAGGCGGUUGCUUAGGUCUGAUGUGAAAGCCUUCGGCUUAACCGAAGAAGGGCAUCGGAAACCGGGCGACUUGAGUGCAAAAGAGGACAGUGGAACUCCAUGUGUAGCGGUGGAAUGCGUAGAUAUAUGGAAGAACACCAGUGGCGAAGGCGGCUGUCUGGUCUGCAACUGACGCUGAGGCUCGAAAGCAUGGGUAGCGAACAGGAUUAGAUACCCUGGUAGUCCAUGCCGUAAACGAUGAGUGCUAGGUGUUGGAGGGUUUCCGCCCUUCAGUGCCGGAGCUAACGCAUUAAGCACUCCGCCCUGGGGAGUACGACCGCAAGGUUUGAAACUCAAAGGAA
rnacentral:rRNA from 1 species